rnacentral:rRNA from 1 species
AUUGAACGCUGGCGGCAGGCCUAACACAUGCAAGUCGAGCGGAUGAAAGGAGCUUGCUCCUGGAUUCAGCGGCGGACGGGUGAGUAAUGCCUAAGAAUCUGCCUGGUAGGAGGGGAUAACGUCCGGCAACCGGCGCUAAUACCGCAUACGUCCUGAGGGAGAAAGUGGGGGAUCUUCGGACCUCACGCUAUCAGAUGAGCCUAGGUCGGAUUAGCUAGUUGGUGGGGUAAAGGCCUACCAAGGCGACGAUCCGUAACUGGUCUGAGAGGAUGAUCAGUCACACUGGAACUGAGACACGGUCCAGACUCCUACGGGAGGCAGCAGUGGGGAAUAUUGGACAAUGCGCGAAAGCUUGAUCCAGCCAUGCCGCGUGUGUGAAGAAGGUCUUCGGAUUGUAAAGCACUUUAAGUUGGGAGGAAGGGCAGUAAGUUAAUACCUUGCUGUUUUGACGUUACCAACAGAAUAAGCACCGGCUAACUUCGUG